rnacentral:rRNA from 1 species
CAGCAGCCGCGGUAACACGGAGGAUCCAAGCGUUAUCCGGAAUCAUUGGGUUUAAAGGGUCCGUAGGCGGUCUUGUAAGUCAGUGGUGAAAGCCCAUCGCUCAACGGUGGAACGGCCAUUGAUACUGCAGGACUUGAAUUAUUGGGAAGUAACUAGAAUAUGUAGUGUAGCGGUGAAAUGCUUAGAGAUUACAUGGAAUACCAAUUGCGAAGGCAGGUUACUACCAAUUGAUUGACGCUGAUGGACGAAAGCGUGGGUAGCGAACAGGAUUAGAUACCCGGGUAGUCCCUGUCUCUUAUAC